CCUACGGGUGGCAGCAGUGAGGAAUAUUGGUCAAUGGACGAGAGUCUGAACCAGCCAAGUCGCGUGAAGGAUGACUGUCCUAUGGGUUGUAAACUUCUUUUAUAUGGGAAUAAAAUGUUCCACGUGUGGGAUUUUGUAUGUACCAUACGAAUAAGGAUUGGCCAACUCCGUGCCAGCAGCCGCGGUAAUUCGGAGGAUCCGAGCGUUAUCCGGAUUUUUUGGGUUUAAAGGGAGCGUAGGUGGAUUGUUAAGUCAGUUGUGAAAGUUUGCGGCCCAAACGUAAAAUUGCAGUUGAAACUGGCGGUCUUGAGUGCGGUAGAGGUGGGCGGAAUUCGUGGUGUAGCGGUGAAAUGCUUAGAUAUCACGAAGAACUCCGAUUGCGAAGGCAGCUCACUGGAGUGCAACUGACACUGAGGCUCGAAAGUGUGGGUAUCAAACAGGAUUAGAUACCCUUGUAGUC
rnacentral:rRNA from 1 species